rnacentral:misc_RNA from 1 species
GUGAUAUUGCAUCUUGAAAAAAAACAAGCAAUAGUGAUAAGCAGCCAAAACAAAUACAUGACAAUAACUAAACAGAAGUUUCCUGACACGUCAACUAUCAAGUAAACUACUUAAACCCAACAAUUGAUCAAACCAAAAGGGAGUUCGAAACAGAGUCAUACAUGGUUUAAAGAUAAACAACUUUAGACUCAAUUUGAUCAAAGUUUUAAGCCACUACUCAUUUAGCAUAUGCGAAAGACAAACAAGAAAGAGCAGGGAGAUA